UUCAUUUAAAGUGAUUCUAUUUAUUGUCCCUCUGCAUGGGAUGGCAGAGUGGUAACGUGUGUCACCACAUAUCCAAGCUUGGGUACACAGGCUUGAUCCAACCCCUUGGGCUGAUGGUGGCAUAUGGCAAACCAGAAGGGG
rnacentral:ribozyme from 1 species